rnacentral:rRNA from 1 species
CAGAGGGUGCGAGCGUUGUUCGGAGUUACUGGGCGUAAAGCGCGCGCAGGCGGCCCUUUAAGUCUGUCGGUCAAAUGCCGGGGCUCAACCCCGAGCUCGCCGGAGAUACUGGAGGGCUGGAGACACGUAGAGGCAAGCGGAAUUCCGGGUGUAGCGGUGGAAUGCGUAGAGAUCCGGAAGAACACCGGAGGCGAAGGCGGCUUGCUGGGCGUGAUCUGACGCUGAGGCGCGAAAGCGUGGGGAGCGAACAGGAUUAGAUACCCUGGUAGUCCACGCCGUAAACGAUGGGCACUAGACGCUGGUGGGAUCGACCCCUUCGGUGUCGCAGCUAACGCGAUAAGUGCCCCGCCUGGGGAGUACGGCCGCAAGGCUG